rnacentral:rRNA from 1 species
UUAAGCGACUAAGCGUACACGGUGGAUGCCCUGGCAGUCAGAGGCGAUGAAGGACGUGCUAAUCUGCGAUAAGCGUCGGUAAGGUGAUAUGAACCGUUAUAACCGGCGAUUUCCGAAUGGGGAAACCCAGUGUGUUUCGACACACUAUCAUUAACUGAAUCCAUAGGUUAAUGAGGCGAACCGGGGGAACUGAAACAUCUAAGUACCCCGAGGAAAAGAAAUCAACCGAGAUUCCCCCAGUAGCGGCGAGCGAACGGGGAGGAGCCCAGAGCCUGAAUCAGUGUGUGUGUUAGUGGAAGCGUCUGGAAAGGCGCGCGAUACAGGGUGACAGCCCCGUACACAAAAAUGCACAUGCUGUGAGCUCGAUGAGUAGGGCGGGACACGUGGUAUCCUGUCUGAAUAUGGGGGGACCAUCCUCCAAGGCUAAAUACUCCUGACUGACCGAUAGUGAACCAGUACCGUGAGGGAAAGGCGAAAAGAACCCCGGCGAGGGGAGUGAAAAAGAACCUGAAACCGUGUACGUACAAGCAGUGGGAGCACGCUUAGGCGUGUGACUGCGUACCUUUUGUAUAAUGGGUCAGCGACUUAUAUUCUGUAGCAAGGUUAACCGAAUAGGGGAGCCGAAGGGAAACCGAGUCUUAACUGGGCGUUAAGUUGCAGGGUAUAGACCCGAAACCCGGUGAUCUAGCCAUGGGCAGGUUGAAGGUUGGGUAACACUAACUGGAGGACCGAACCGACUAAUGUUGAAAAAUUAGCGGAUGACUUGUGGCUGGGGGUGAAAGGCCAAUCAAACCGGGAGAUAGCUGGUUCUCCCCGAAAGCUAUUUAGGUAGCGCCUCGUGAAUUCAUCUCCGGGGGUAGAGCACUGUUUCGGCAAGGGGGUCAUCCCGACUUACCAACCCGAUGCAAACUGCGAAUACCGGAGAAUGUUAUCACGGGAGACACACGGCGGGUGCUAACGUCCGUCGUGAAGAGGGAAACAACCCAGACCGCCAGCUAAGGUCCCAAAGUCAUGGUUAAGUGGGAAACGAUGUGGGAAGGCCCAGACAGCCAGGAUGUUGGCUUAGAAGCAGCCAUCAUUUAAAGAAAGCGUAAUAGCUCACUGGUCGAGUCGGCCUGCGCGGAAGAUGUAACGGGGCUAAACCAUGCACCGAAGCUGCGGCAGCGACGCUGAUGCGUUGUUGGGUAGGGGAGCGUUCUGUAAGCCUGCGAAGGUGUGCUGUGAGGCAUGCUGGAGGUAUCAGAAGUGCGAAUGCUGACAUAAGUAACGAUAAAGCGGGUGAAAAGCCCGCUCGCCGGAAGACCAAGGGUUCCUGUCCAACGUUAAUCGGGGCAGGGUGAGUCGACCCCUAAGGCGAGGCCGAAAGGCGUAGUCGAUGGGAAACAGGUUAAUAUUCCUGUACUUGGUGUUACUGCGAAGGGGGGACGGAGAAGGCUAUGUUGGCCGGGCGACGGUUGUCCCGGUUUAAGCGUGUAGGCUGGUUUUCCAGGCAAAUCCGGAAAAUCAAGGCUGAGGCGUGAUGACGAGGCACUACGGUGCUGAAGCAACAAAUGCCCUGCUUCCAGGAAAAGCCUCUAAGCAUCAGGUAACAUCAAAUCGUACCCCAAACCGACACAGGUGGUCAGGUAGAGAAUACCAAGGCGCUUGAGAGAACUCGGGUGAAGGAACUAGGCAAAAUGGUGCCGUAACUUCGGGAGAAGGCACGCUGAUAUGUAGGUGAAGUCCCUUGCGGAUGGAGCUGAAAUCAGUCGAAGAUACCAGCUGGCUGCAACUGUUUAUUAAAAACACAGCACUGUGCAAACACGAAAGUGGACGUAUACGGUGUGACGCCUGCCCGGUGCCGGAAGGUUAAUUGAUGGGGUUAGCGCAAGCGAAGCUCUUGAUCGAAGCCCCGGUAAACGGCGGCCGUAACUAUAACGGUCCUAAGGUAGCGAAAUUCCUUGUCGGGUAAGUUCCGACCUGCACGAAUGGCGUAAUGAUGGCCAGGCUGUCUCCACCCGAGACUCAGUGAAAUUGAACUCGCUGUGAAGAUGCAGUGUACCCGCGGCAAGACGGAAAGACCCCGUGAACCUUUACUAUAGCUUGACACUGAACAUUGAGCCUUGAUGUGUAGGAUAGGUGGGAGGCUUUGAAGUGUGGACGCCAGUCUGCAUGGAGCCGACCUUGAAAUACCACCCUUUAAUGUUUGAUGUUCUAACGUGGACCCGUGAUCCGGGUUGCGGACAGUGUCUGGUGGGUAGUUUGACUGGGGCGGUCUCCUCCUAAAGAGUAACGGAGGAGCACGAAGGUUGGCUAAUCCUGGUCGGACAUCAGGAGGUUAGUGCAAUGGCAUAAGCCAGCUUGACUGCGAGCGUGACGGCGCGAGCAGGUGCGAAAGCAGGUCAUAGUGAUCCGGUGGUUCUGAAUGGAAGGGCCAUCGCUCAACGGAUAAAAGGUACUCCGGGGAUAACAGGCUGAUACCGCCCAAGAGUUCAUAUCGACGGCGGUGUUUGGCACCUCGAUGUCGGCUCAUCACAUCCUGGGGCUGAAGUAGGUCCCAAGGGUAUGGCUGUUCGCCAUUUAAAGUGGUACGCGAGCUGGGUUUAGAACGUCGUGAGACAGUUCGGUCCCUAUCUGCCGUGGGCGCUGGAGAACUGAGGGGGGCUGCUCCUAGUACGAGAGGACCGGAGUGGACGCAUCACUGGUGUUCGGGUUGUCAUGCCAAUGGCACUGCCCGGUAGCUAAAUGCGGAAGAGAUAAGUGCUGAAAGCAUCUAAGCACGAAACUUGCCCCGAGAUGAGUUCUCCCUGACCCUUUAAGGGUCCUGAAGGAACGUUGAAGACGACGACGUUGAUAGGCCGGGUGUGUAAGCGCAGCGAUGCGUUGAGCUAACCGGUACUAAUGAACCGUGAGGCUUAACCUU